rnacentral:tRNA from 1 species
GCCUUCGUGGUGUAAUGGGCAACACACUCGGCGCGUAUUCGAGAGGUCCGAGGUUCGAGUCCCGGUAAGGGCA